CAUGCCUACAAAGUUUGGACUUCGGACUAGGAGUAGCCAAUAAUUAAAAGCUGGCCAUGAUUAAAGGACGACAGAGCGAGGUCAAACGCUCUACGAUGGUGAGAUCAUUCUUUCGUCUUUUCCGAGCAAUGAUACCUGGCCGGAGGGACAAACUUUGCCGUUGUUCGUUCCACACAUUUAAUUUCAUUGUCGCUUGCGUACUAUAGCUCCACUUCACAGUAUAUUCACAUGCUCCAACUCUUUUAUUUAGACUCCAGUAGUCCAAUUGUUUUUUUUUUGAUUAAAACUGGAGGGGCAGAGCACCCCUACAGUGCUUCAUUGAAAAUAGAAAACAGUUUCACCCGAGAACAAAAAAACAGGGGGGGGGGGGAAUUAGGAGACAAAAAAAGAAAUAAAGAAAAUAUAACAAGAAAUGACCAAGAAAAGUGCUAAAGAAGAUUUGCUGUCCA
rnacentral:lncRNA from 1 species